GAACGCGAACAACACGCUGUCCGCGCUGUGCAGCUGCUUUCAUUCGAGUGAGCAUGGAAAUGCAGAACGCAAAUGCAAUGACGCACUGGACCGCGAAAACGCACACUGCGGUGGCGGUCAGCAAAACUUCAGGUACGAGUACUAGGAGCCCCAGUUCGAGCUGACGACGGCUACCGAACACCUGUACUACAAAACGGAAUUCCGAGCGCCCUUUCCUUCCGUACCAUGUACAACAUGAACAGCAGCAGGGAUAAAGGGUACGCUCUGGUGAAAUUCCUCAGCACCAGUUUAUUUCCCUCUGAUUCUCGUUCACGCUCUUCUUUUUCGGAAAACCAACUCAACAAAUUUGAUGGCAGCUCGACUCCUCUGCAAUAUUGGUCACUCUGCUGAAUAAACGCUC